UACGGGGGGGGCAAGCGUUGUUCGGAUUCAUUGGGCGUAAAGGGUGCGUAGGCGGUCGCGCAAGUCGGAUGUGAAAUCUCAGGGCUCAACCCUGAAACUGCAUUCGAUACUGCGUGGCUAGAGUGCUGGAGAGGAGACUGGAAUUUACGGUGUAGCAGUGAAAUGCGUAGAUAUCGUAAGGAAGACCAGUGGCGAAGGCGAGUCUCUGGACAGCAACUGACGCUGAGGCACGAAGGCCAGGGGAGCAAACAGG
rnacentral:rRNA from 1 species